rnacentral:rRNA from 1 species
GAUGAACGCUGGCGGCGUGCUUAACACAUGCAAGUCGAACGAUGAAGCCCAGCUUGCUGGGUGGAUUAGUGGCGAACGGGUGAGUAACACGUGAGUAACCUGCCCUUAACUCUGGGAUAAGCCUGGGAAACUGGGUCUAAUACCGGAUAGGAGCGCCUACCGCAUGGUGGGUGUUGGAAAGAUUUAUCGGUUUUGGAUGGACUCGCGGCCUAUCAGCUUGUUGGUGAGGUAAUGGCUCACCAAGGCGACGACGGGUAGCCGGCCUGAGAGGGUGACCGGCCACACUGGGACUGAGACACGGCCCAGACUCCUACGGGAGGCAGCAGUGGGGAAUAUUGCACAAUGGGCGAAAGCCUGAUGCAGCGACGCCGCGUGAGGGAUGACGGCCUUCGGGUUGUAAACCUCUUUCAGUAGGGAAGAAGCGAAAGUUACGGUACCUGCAGAAGAAGCACCGGCUAACUACGUG